rnacentral:tRNA from 1 species
AACAGCGUGUUGCAGCGCGACGAGCGAUACGGCGUGAUCGUCGCCGAUGCGAAUUCGGCGAGCGGCCUCGCGUUCGACACGCGGCGCCGCUAC